rnacentral:rRNA from 1 species
UACGGGGUGGGCAAGCGUUGUUCGGAAUUACUGGGCGUAAAGGGCUCGUAGGCGGCCAACUAAGUCGGAUGUGAAAUCCCCAGGCUUAACCUGGGAACUGCAUCCGAUACUGGAUGGCUUGAAUCCGGGAGAGGGAUGCAGAAUUCCAGGUGUAGCGGUGAAAUGCGUAGAUAUCUGGAGGAAUACCGGUGGCGAAGGCGGCAUCCUGGACCGGCAUUGACGCUGAGGAGCGAAAGCUAGGGGAGCAAACGGG